rnacentral:rRNA from 1 species
AACGUAGGAGACAAACGUUAUCCGGAGUUACUGGGCGUAAAGGGCGUGCAGGCGGUCGACUAAGUCUGGCGUGAAAGCUCUCGGCUAAACCGGGAGAGGUCGUUGGAUACUGGUUGACUAGAGGACGGUAGAGGCGUGUGGAGUUCCGGGUGUAGUGGUGAAAUGCGUAGAGAUCCGGAGGAACACCAGUGGCGAAGGCGACACGCUGGGCCGUACCUGACGCUGAUACGCGACAGCAUGGGGAGCGAACGGG